CAGACCCCAAACCUUUAAAUGAUAGUCUUUUGCAUUUAUUUUACAGAAUAUUUACUGAAAUAGUUUGAAAACAAAUGUGUAUUAAAUUAAGACUUCUUUCAAAAACAUACUAAAAAACCUACAUACCCCAAACAUUUGAUGUAAUGUUUAUAAAAUGCCAUUUUUUUUUUUUUUUUUUUUUUAAUUAAGACUUCUUUCAAAAACAUACUAAAAAAACCUACAUACCCCAAACUUUUUAUGUAAUGUUUAUAAAAUGCCUUUUUUUUUUUGCUUUAAAUGUCAGGGUUUCUACUGUACUGGGGGGAGCUCAGCCCCAGAGCCGUGUGAAGAGGGCACAUUUGGAUCCCGGCAAGCCCUGAGUGAAGCAUCACAGUGUACCCCAUGUAGUGGGGGGAAAUAUUGCACCGGUUUGGGCAAAUCUGAGCCCACAGGGGACUGUGAAGGAGGAUUCUAUUGUAGACAGAGGUCUACGAGUCCAGUUCCUCCUGAUGGUCAUGAAGGGGGUGUGUGUCCUGCUGGCAGUUUCUGCCCACCGGGUUCAGUUCACCCACAGCCCUGCCCUUCAGGAACCUACAGUAACAGCACGGGUCUCCAACAUGCAGAGCAGUGUGUCCACUGUCCUCCAGGGUAUGACUGCAAGAGCAAAUAAAAAAAAAACUGUGCAUGUUGAUAAAUAAGCAUUAAGUUUUCUUUUUUCAUCAUUUACUCUCUUUCAUGCUGUUCCAAAUCUGCAUGACUUUCUUUCUUCUGUGGAUCAUAAAAGAAGAUAUUAUGAAGAAUGCUAGCAACCAAACUGUUUUGGUUACCAUUGACUUCCACUGUAUUGACAAAAAAAAAUCUAAAUAUAUUUUAUGCACCACAAGAUAGUCAUGCAUAUUUCAGUCAACAGUUCAGUAAAUGAUGACAGAAUUUUAAUAUUUGUGUGAACUAUCCCUUUCAUUUAAAAUCUUAAAUUUCAGUUCUUAUGUUUUUUUUUUGUUUUGUUUUUUUUUCUCAGCUAUUAUUGUUUAGGAACAAACUCUACGUCCCCUUCUGGUCCAUGCUUUGCGGGGUAUUACUGCACCGGAGGUUCAGCCACACCAAUCCAACAUGAAGCUGAGGAGGGACACUACUCUUUGGAAGGAGCUGUCAGGGCCGAACCAUGCCCAUUGGGAACUUUCCAACCAGUAAGUCACAUGUUUAGAGCAUUUACACCAUGUAACAUUUUCAUUGUAUUGUAUUCAUUGAAUCAAUUUUAUUAAAUUUCAGUUUAAUUUUCCAUUUUACUUCUUUUCCAUCAGGGAAGAGGCUACAACUCAUGCAUUGAAUGCCAAUCAGGAAGACUGUGCAACAAGACAGGCCUAUCCCAGCAGCCUCUGUGCCCACCUGGAAACUUCUGCCCUGCUGGAUCCUUAAUUGCUCACCCAUGUCCCCCUGUAUGAAACCUCAUUUUCCAUUUAUUAUACACAACCGUUCAAAAGUUUUUUUUAAAAGAAGUAUCUUCUGCUCACUCAGGGUGUAUUUAUUUGAUCAAAAAUACAGUUAAAAUGUAAUAUUGUGAAAUAUUAUUACAAUUUUAAAAGACUUAGAGUGAAGACUGAAUUUCCUCAUCUGACUUUCUGUUUUCAUUUGUAGGGUACAUACACGGCAAGUUCAGGGGUGGAGGAUCU
ensembl:lncRNA